rnacentral:tRNA from 1 species
CCUUCGAUAGCUCAGUUGGUAGAGCGGUGGACUGUAGAGGCGAUAAGAUAUCCAUAGGUCGCUGGUUCAAAUCCGGCUCGAAGGA